GGUUAUAACCCAGUAUCACAAGGCACUAAGGGAUUUUGACCCACACCACUGUGUUGCGUCAAAAGUCUUAAUUUUUGGGUCGCUUUCCCGCGGUAUCCGGGAAGGCAAA
rnacentral:sRNA from 1 species